rnacentral:tRNA from 1 species
GCCGGGGUAGCUCAACUGGGAGAGCUGGGGACUGCAGAUCCUCUGGUCCUGGUUCAAGUCCAGGCCCCGGCUCCA